rnacentral:rRNA from 1 species
GAUGCAGUGUAUGGAAUGUCAAAUUUCUAGUAUGAGAAAUUAACGAUUUAAGUCCUUCUUAAAUGAGGCCAUUUACCCAUAGAGGGUGCCAGGCCCGUAUAACGUUAAUGAUUACUAGAUGGCAUUUCCAAAGAGUCGUGUUGCUUGAUAGUGCAGCACUAAGUGGGUGGUAAACUCCAUCUAAAACUAAAUAUAACCAUGAGACCGAUAGUAAACAAGUACCGUGAGGGAAAGUUGAAAAGAACUCUGAAUAGAGAGUUAAAUAGUACGUGAAACUGCUUAGAGGUUAAGCCCGAUGAACCUGAAUAUCCAUUAUAGAAAAUUCAUCAUUAUGAUUUUAAUAUUAAUAAUAUUAUAAUAAUGGUGUGCAUUUUUUCUAUAACGGACAUUGUAAUCUAUUAACAUAAAUAUAUUUAUCAUAAGAUCAAUGAACCGUAAGUUUAUUCGAAUUAUUUUGCUUGCAAUUUAACAUAGAAUAAAUACUCUUGAUUGGAUAAAGUGUUGAUAGAUUUAUUGUAUAUAGUGCUUAAAUAUUUAUAUUUUAUAAUAGCAUAUUAAUCAUUGAUUUUUAUGUUUAUUAUAUGCACUUAUAUGAUUAACAAUGCGAAAGAUUCAGGAUACCUUCGGGACCCGUCUUGAAACACGGACCAAGGAGUCUAACAUAUUUGCAAGUUAUUGGGUAUCAAAACCUAAUAGCGAAAUUAACAUAACUUUAAUGGGAUUAGUUUUUAGAUUAUUUAUAGUCUAUUAAUUCAAUCCCGGGGCGUUCUAUAUAGUUAUGUAUAAUAAUAUUUAUAUUAUUUAUACCUCUAACUAGAGCGUACCUUGAGCAUAUAUGCUGUGACCCGAAAGAUGGUGAACUAUACUUGAUCAGGUUGAAGUCAGGGG